rnacentral:rRNA from 1 species
UACGUAGGGGGCAAGCGUUGUCCGGAAUCAUUGGGCGUAAAGAGCGUGUAGGCGGCCAACUAAGUCGGACGUGAAAUCCCCAGGCUCAACCUGGGAACUGCGUCUGAUACUGGAUGGCUUGAAUCCGGGAGAGGGAUGCAGAAUUCCAGGUGUAGCGGUGAAAUGCGUAGAUAUCUGGAGGAAUACCGGUGGCGAAGGCGGCAUCCUGGACCGGCAUUGACGCUGAGGAGCGAAAGCCAGGGGAGCAAACAGG